rnacentral:lncRNA from 1 species
CAGAGAUGAGCCAUUUUCCUUUGUUUAAAAACAAUGAGUAGAAUAGGGUGUAUCGAUGACCUCAUAGAUGCAGCAGUGUGAUGGGGAGAACUUUGCCUCUGGAAUCAGACUGCACCAGCCCAAGUCCUACUUCCAUUCUCUAUCAUUUGUCCCAGCUUGAAAAACAAACUGAAGUUCUGUGCUGAGGAGGGUCAGCAUCAGAGACUUGCUCCUGCUAGCCCGUGACUCCAAUGAGAAAUCAUCAAGCACACUUCCACACUGGUGUCUGGGAGAAAAACACACUGGAACUGACAAAACCUAGUGUAACUAAAAAUAGAAUUACAAGCUUUUAAUCUGUAUUGAAAAAGUACGUGGCAGGAAUGGCUGGAGCCUGGAAGAGGGAGAGAAGAGAGGAGCCAAUAUUUCCUGCUCAGCUGGAGCUUCUGCCUCAUUUUCAAUGAACAAUGAAAUGCUGACUACUGAGACCUCCGCUGACUACUGAGAGCUGCCUGUGGCUUUGGGGCUUAGGUGGAUUCUCAACGUUAUCUAAAGCCAAAUGAACUCUUAUACCCUGUGGCCUGUGGAGGCCGGAAGAGGACCUCUCUUCUGCAGUGUGGGAGGACUUCAAGCCUGGGGGAUUGAAGUGGAGUACAGCAGCGUUAGCCUUGGUGGCUUGCAGCUGCAGAGCAGCUAGAGCACCUUAUGCAGGCCUGGCAGCCUCUCCCUGGCUUCCAAGAAUUGAAUGUGAACAGCUGCUGUGUUCCCAGGGACAGAUUUUUAAAAGAUCUCCAAAAAUUCUAUCUUUGGUUUUUUACUGUGCUGUAGCUUGAUGUUUGCUUCAAAUUCCAGAAACAUUGACAAGGGAGAACUGCCCUUCUGUAAACUAUUAUAGCUGUAGUAAGAUACACUGAGAUUUAGAAAUAAUUUCAAAUUUGGACAGGCUUAUUGAAGUUGUCAGAAAUGGGAUCUUUAUAAAUGUUAGGAUAGACUCUGAGACUGAUAAGUAAGAUUUAAAUAAUCAAAAGCACAGACCUAUGCUUAAGAGGAAGCCAGUUGUGUGGUAUUACUAAUCCAUCAAACUUUGAAUGCUUCUCAAGCCAUAGAUAUCAUUAUGCUUACUGCAUUUAUCACAG